UGACAAUAUCACAGAGGUCACCCGUUCCUUUAUAGCUCAUCUUCAAACUUAACCUCAGGAAUUUCAUUUCUUGACGAUAAAAAAAAUGGAAAUCCUCAAAUUAUCGUGUUAUCAAGAGACGAGACAAAAAUUCUUUUGGGAGUAUCAUAGAGAUCGCAUCGCCCGUCCGUUUUAGCCUAUCUUCGAACUUAACCUCAGGAAUUUAAUUCCUCGUCGAUUAAAAAACAUUUUUGGAAAUCCGUGGCAAAUUACUUAAGUUAUCGUUUUAUCAAGGAAUGAACAAAAUGUGACAAAUAUUUUAGAGUGUUUAUUAUCCGUCAGACCCAUGACUUUCAGUCAAGAUAAUUAUUUACGACCGAAGUAAAACUUAGCUAGGCUACAGAAUGGUACAACCCAGUUUACUUCUUAUCCAUGUUUUUGUAAUUGGCGCUCGAAAACUAAUAGCCCCGUGGCGCUGAAAACCUUAAUCCGGCUC